rnacentral:lncRNA from 1 species
UGGCCAGCCUGGUUCGCUGGGUUAAAAAGAAGGUGGGUGGUGGUGGUGAGGGCUUCUAGCCUGAAGUUUCUGAGCGGAGAGGGGACAAAAAGGCAUGUUUCCAGGCUGGCACGCCUGCGGGGACACAAACCAGUAAAGCGCAAAGAGUGCAAGUUGGCCCCCUGUCACAGUGAUGUGCAUAGGUGAAAACAGUUGUGCUCUGGCCUGAAAGGAUCAGGA